CAAACGACUCUCGGCAACGGAUAUCUCGGCUCACGCAUCGAUGAAGAACGUAGCAAAAUGCGAUACUUGGUGUGAAUUGCAGAAUCCCGUGAACCAUCGAGUUUUUGAACGCAAGUUGCGCCCGAAGCCUCUCGGCCGAGGGCACGUCUGCCUGGGCGUCACAC
rnacentral:rRNA from 1 species